GUGCUUUAUUAAGCUAGCUAUCACUGUGUGUGGCUGGAGCUUAAUCCUGCAGGAGACCUCUGGAAUAUCGUAGAAAACACACACCUCAGAAUGACCCCAUCUGAGAGCUGCAUUGAUGAGGAAACUGAAACAGAAAAUCCAGAGUAAAUUCCACCAGGCCACACAGUGAGGCCUGAUAGAGCCAGGAGAGACUUUAUGAAAUCCAGACUCUCAGACUAAUGUUCUAUCAGCUAGACCUCCAUGUGAGUCUCCCAAUGUAGGUAGGAAGAGUUCUCCCUAAAAUGCUCAUAAAGCAAAUCAGAGCAAUGCUUCAUUCCAUGUGAUUUCUAAUUUGAAAUGCAAAUAAUUACCAAUUUGUUUGACUUGUAUUUAUAAUUAUUUCCUUGUGAAUUACUCAUCACUAAAUGCUUUAUAAAUAUUUUCUCUUUUUUUUCUCAAUGUCUAUGGAAUGAUCACGGCAUAGAAAAUGUUGGCUUUCAAGGAUUUAUUAAUAUCUCUUUUUGAAAUAACAUGUAUUUGUAAGAUAGAAUAAAAUCACUUUAAAGAAA